rnacentral:rRNA from 1 species
GUAGGGAAUAUUGGACAAUGGGCGAAAGCCUGAUCCAGCAAUGCCGCGUGAGUGAUGAAGGCCUUAGGGUUGUAAAGCUCUUUUACCAGGGAUGAUAAUGACAGUACCUGGAGAAUAAGCUCCGGCUAACUCCGUGCCAGCAGCCGCGGUAAUACGGAGGGAGCUAGCGUUGUUCGGAAUUACUGGGCGUAAAGCGCGCGUAGGCGGCGAUUUAAGUCAGAGGUGAAAGCCCGGGGCUCAACCCCGGAAUAGCCUUUGAGACUGGAUUGCUAGAAUCCUGGAGAGGUGAGUGGAAUUCCGAGUGUAGAGGUGAAAUUCGUAGAUAUUCGGAAGAACACCAGUGGCGAAGGCGGCUCACUGGACAGGUAUUGACGCUGAGGUGCGAAAGCGUGGGGAGCAAACAGGAUUAGAUACCCUUGUAGUCC